CGAUCCCAAUGGUCUCCACGCACCACCGCCCCCUCCGCGCCCUCAUGCACCCUCGCCCAGUCACUGACCUGCUCCUCAGGAGGCGGAGGAAGGCCUCCGCGGCGGCCGUCGUGGGCGCCACGCACCCUGGCCCAGUCAUCGACCUGCUCCUCUGGAGGCGGAGGAACGCCUCCAUGGCGGCCGUCGCGGGUGCCAUGCACCCUCGGCCGGUCGUCGACCUGCUCCUCUCGAGGCGGAGGAACGCCUCCGCGGCGGCCGUCGCGGGUGCCAUGCUCGUCUGGUUCCUCUUCGAGCGCGCAGGGUACAACCCCCCAGGCGGCGGCUACCAGACUCGCUCGAUCUCUCUACCCAAGCCGUCAAUAGCAACAGGUAUAGUGUUUUCCCAUCGUCAUAGGCGUCUACUUCUCCUCCGCACGCCCUUUAUACUGGCAUGGUAUGCUGUGGAGAUCUAUCCCGACUUGGAUCAGCCUGUUCUGCUGGACGAAACCCUAACUGAUUAAAUUGUUCGGAAAUGUUUAUCGUGGCCUUUUGUUAAGCUCCAAUCCAUGGUCGUUAGGUCUGCCACAACUAAUCCAUUCCUGUCACUUUACACGCGCUCUUUUUCCUGAUUUAACUUGACCAAUAGUUGUGGAAAUAUAUAUAACUGAUCUUUGAAUAUGUGUGCUAUGCAUCAUAAAAUGGGAAACCUUGUUCGGCUACAGAUACUAUUGAUAUAGUUUUUCUGGCACAUAACCCAUGUUUAGUUGGUCCAACUGAUGGUCAAAUCUGAAUUUUAAAGUGUGUGCGCACCACGAAGGAAGUAUACACUUUAGUUUGGACUAGAAUAGUUUGGUCAAUACUGGCCAUUAGAGAACAGAGUGUGUAAUGGAUUCAUCAACACAACAAUAUAUGUACUCUGCAUAGUUCCAAAUUUCUAAUUAGUCAUCCAUUGGAUUUGGAUGACUGGGUUUUUUGUUUGAUCUUUUCUAUUCAAGGUCGUUUGGAAUGAUGCUGAGAGAUAAGCGCAGGCGAGAGGCUUGGAUCAAGUGCAAAAUGCCUCCAAGAGAGUGCUUAGGUCAAGUUUUGAGAUCUUUGAUUUCCCAUGCAACCAGUUUGAUGGGCAGGAACUUGGCAUUGAUAAGGAAAUUGUUCAGAUUGCUUGCACUCGUUUCCAUGCCGAGUAUCUGAUUUCUGACAAGGGUUCUGGUGGCGACGAUGACGGUCGUCGAGAGGUUCGUGGACUGGACGAUGUAGGCCGGGCAGGCGCCGCACAUUGAUGAGUAGUCCAAUUUACGGAUCGGGCCAUAACAACUUACGUAGGUAGUUGCUUAUGUAACUGUGCGAUAUAAUGGAAUUAUACAUGAGUUGCUGCUACAAUGAGGAACGUAGUUGCUUAUCUAAUUGUGCGAUGGAAUGGAAUUAUA